UGGGGAAUCGUCUAAUGGUAGGACAACGGAUUUUGGUUCCGUUUAUCUAGGUUCGAGUCCUAGUUCCCCAG
rnacentral:tRNA from 2 species